UACAGAGGUCCCAAGCGUUGUUCGGAUUCAUUGGGCGUAAAGGGUGCGUAGGCGGCGCGGGAAGUCGGGUGUGAAAUCUCGGAGCUUAACUCCGAAACUGCAUUCGAUACUGCCGUGCUUGAGGACUGGAGAGGAGACUGGAAUUUACGGUGUAGCGGUGAAAUGCGUAGAUAUCGUAAGGAAGACCAGUGGCGAAGGCGGGUCUCUGGGCCGAUACUGACGCUGAGGAGCGAAAGCGUGGGGAGCGAACAGG
rnacentral:rRNA from 1 species